ensembl:ncRNA lncRNA:CR44500 long non-coding RNA:CR44500
AGCAUACAUCUUCCAAGUAAUAUUUCUUGCCGUGUAGACGAUCCACAAAACGCAAACAGAAGAUGCCAACGAAUGAGAACGAGAGCAACGAUGACGUUGAUAAUGGCGUAAAAUGGUUGAAGUCAGACAGAAAACCCAGAAAAAUACAAGUCGAAAGUAGUGGAAAUGUGUGUGGAAAUCCAAUGGGGGGCUGGUGGCGGUCCUUCUGCACAGGAGCCAAAAGAAAAAACGACAGAGCCGAGGAAAAUGCGAAAAGACCAGAAGACCAGGUACGAACAAACAAAUUGGAUGCGAAUGCAAAUAAACGAAAAUUAUAAAUAACAGCAGCAACGACCAAACUGGCAAUGGAAAUGGAAAACUCCGAGGAAAUUGAGGCUACGUACAUACCUGGCACUCGGAUGGGCAAAAGAAUAGCCAUGGAAAACUGGGGGCAUUCGUUUCCCAGUCGAAAGAUGAUGAGCCGCAAUAACAAACAGGUGUAGCUGGAAAAUGGAGACGAAACCAGAUGAUGACUCUAUAUAGGACGAGAGAACCGGCAAAACGAGAAGAAAGCAAGUGCAAUAUGUAGACGGAGCGACUGAUGAGUUGCAAUGAAUAGAAAUUGCCAAAGCAAAUGGUCCACAACAAUGCAGUGCUGAGAAAAAACGAUAAAAAAAAAAUGUUCCCUUACCAAAGCUUUG